GAUGAACGCUGGCGGCGUGCUUAACACAUGCAAGUCGAACGAUGAUCCGGGUGCUUGCACUCGGGGAUUAGUGGCGAACGGGUGAGUAACACGUGAGCAACCUGCCCCUGACUCUGGGAUAGGCGCUGGAAACGGCGUCUAAUACUGGAUAUGUCCCGUCACCGCAUGGUGUGCGGGUGGAAAGAUUUUUCGGUUGGGGAUGGGCUCGCGGCCUAUCAGCUAGUUGGUGAGGUAAUGGCUCACCAAGGCGUCGACGGGUAGCCGGCCUGAGAGGGUGACCGGCCACACUGGGACUGAGACACGGCCCAGACUCCUACGGGAGGCAGCAGUGGGGAAUAUUGCACAAUGGGCGGAAGCCUGAUGCAGCAACGCCGCGUGAGGGAUGACGGCCUUCGGGUUGUAAACCUCUUUUAGCAGGGAAGAAGCGAGAGUGACGGUACCUGCAGAAAAAGCACCGGCUAACUACGUGCCAGCCGCCGCAGUAAAAC
rnacentral:rRNA from 1 species